UGCUGGGCCUGCUCCCUGAUGCUUCCCGGCUUUGGGGCGGCCCUGGUGCUGUAGGUGACACCAGGGUUGGUCGGCGAGGACACUGGCGCGACAGCCAGAGCAUCUGCCAGCGAGCCUUGUGAUUUCGCACAAAGGCAGCUUGCUACGCGCGUUGCAGUUGCAAGGAAGUGGAUCUCUCUGCCAAACUGCAUAGGCAAGCCUGCAGGGAAGGAACUUGACAUGAGGAAUUCCCUCACUCCAACUAAGGUGCCCUGUUAAUGGGACUUACUGAAUGACCUCUCCCAGCUCAUCAAAACUCCGGGGAACAAACACACCAGCUUCCUUCAAGGCUUGGUUCUUUGCAACAGCA